AGAACGGCUCUAUUGAGAGCCAUCAAAAACUCGGCAAAGGUGACAG
rfam:Leptosomus discolor contig30977, whole genome shotgun sequence.